rnacentral:rRNA from 1 species
UACGGAGGGUGCAAGCGUUAUCCGGAAUCACUGGGUUUAAAGGGUGCGUAGGCGGCUUGAUAAGUCAGGGGUGAAAGCUUCCCGCUCAACGGGAGAACUGCCUUUGAUACUGUCAGGCUCGAAUUGGGUUGAGGCAGGCGGAAUGUGGCAUGUAGCGGUGAAAUGCUUAGAUAUGCCAUAGAACACCGAUUGCGAAGGCAGCCUGCCAGGCCUUGAUUGACGCUGAGGCGCGAAAGCGUGGGGAGCGAACAGG